AAGGAUACACGGAAGGAUACACAGAAGAAUACGCAGACGAAUACCCAGAGGGACAUGAAACACCUGUUGUUACAGAUCAACACAAAGUAAUCCGCGAACCCCAAGGACUCAUUUUCAGUCCCUUGUUUCCCGGUCAAUAUGGAAACAAUCAACAUUUGUCUUGGCGACUGGUCACUGACCCUGGACAGAAAAUACUCUUGACUUUGUUCACUGUGUCACUGGAGUGUGACUAUGACAAUUUGAUCAUUUACGACGGACCAGACGCGACCUAUCCCGAAAUAGCCCAGUACUGCUCAUUGCCCAAAGUGUCCCAAAUUAAGUCCACAUCGAAUGAAGUCUACAUCACUUUCUGGUCUGACUAUAGCGUGAAAAACACUGGGUUCAUCCUGUCUCAUGAUAUAAUAGCUGCCUAGAAAACAGAUCUGGAAGUAACUUCUGCUGCUUGACCUGGAUGAGA
rnacentral:sRNA from 1 species